rnacentral:lncRNA from 1 species
CACGGAGGCAGCCUCGCUGAAUAAGACUGAAUGUGAUCAACUGCCAACAUGGAAAUAGAAAUCCUCCCCUAUUUCCUCUCUGUUUCCCAGCAUUUCUCUCUGGGACACGUCCCAGCAGCACUGGGAACACCGUCUGUAGCUCUCUCCUCCUAACACUCCCAAAAUUGCAAUGGUGAAGCCCCCAUCCUCUCUGUGUUCAGCACUGGUCGCAGAAAUGGGGGCAGAGAGCAUUACGUGUGUCCUAAAAGGCAAGGGAGGUAAUUCUAGAUAGUACAUUACCCAUCCAUGGUCCUCACUAAGAGCCCUGUUUUUGGUGGUUUUUUCUUUUGUGUGUGUGUGUGUAUGUGGGGGGGUUGUUUGUUUUGGGGUUUUGUUGUUGUUGUUUUGCUUUUUUUUUUCUUUCAGGCAGUAAUCUCUUUUUUUCUGUUGGAAUCAAAUCAAAGCAUGUUUGUGCUCAGGAGCAACACAGAUUUCCUAAGUAACACAGAAGCUAUUUUUAGAGGAUCUUGGGAGGGGGAAGAUCUUGGGAUCCACCUAAACUUAGAUCCAGCCUAUGGCGUGGUCUCUCUCACAAAGAUCGCUUGUAUAUUUCACCCCGCUUGUUUUGAAGGGCCUGAGAUGCCCUGCAGGGCUGUGCCCCGUAAGCCUGGAGCUGCCCAUUGCAGCAUCACACAGUCUUUCCCUUCUUCUCCUUUAAAGCACACUGCUUUUCACCUCUUGGAGAACCCUGCGAUGAGGCCAAUUUGUGCUGACCGUGACAUAUUAGUGGUACAGCUGGACUGUCUGUCGGUGCAUUUGGAAUUAUAAGAAGAGGAAGAAAGAGAGAGAUGGCUCUCUAUCCACGUGCAAGCCCUGAGGAAGGCGUUGUCAGGAUCCAGUGAAAAGGCGGCAGUUUGCAAGCCAGGUGGAGAGCUCUCACCGGAACCUGACCAUGUUGGUAUCCUGAUCUUAGACUUCCAGACUCAAGAACUGUGAGAAAAUAGAGCUGUGGAAGACUGUUGGGAAAGUCACCCGGUCUAUGGUCUUUUGUUAUGGCAGCCCAAGCCGUCUAAGAUAUUCUUCAAAGUCCCCCUCUAUCCACAUAGACUAUCCUGGGCUGGAACAAACCUUAGACAUUUCAAAAACUCUUUUUUUUUUUUAAAUUUUGAUUUAUUUGCGAGAGAUUGAGAGAGAGAGAGAGAGAGAGAGAGCCCACACACAAGAUCACAAGCAG